AAUCAGACUAUUGAAAUGUCAGUUUUAGUGCAGGAGGUUUUUGUACAGCCGCUGAUUGGGUUUGUAUCACUGUGGUUGACUUUCGGUGGAGGAACUCGACUCUCAGUUGGAACUGCCACCCGUCCCACUCUCACGGUCCUGCCGCCCUCCAGAGACGAGCUGCAGCAGGGUAAGGCUACAGUGGUGUGUGUGGGCAGUAAGGGAUUCCCCUCUGACUGGAAGCUGAGCUGGAAGGUGGAUGGCAGCAGCAGGAGCUCUGCUGUGAAUCUGAGUCCCAGUGUGCUGCAGAAGGAUGGACUGUACAGCUGGAGCAGCAGCCUGAGCCUCACUGAGAGUGAGUGGAGGAGAGCAACAACCAUCAGCUGUGACGCCACGCACCCAUCCCAGAAUGCAGUGACCGAGAGCCUGAACACACAGCAGUGUGAUGACCAGUGAAACACACACAGAUCACACAAAAACGUAGAUAGCAUGCAAAAUGUUUCAUUCACACUCACACAUACAAUUAAAACAAGUCUUAAUUAAAGACAAACACCACUGUAUACCAAUUUGCUCUGUAUGUUAAUGUUUCUUUAAGCCUAUUUUGUAUUAAACAAUACUUUUCUGCCAAAUAAAAGCUUUUUGAAUCAUUAA